rnacentral:rRNA from 1 species
UACAGAGGGUGCGAGCGUUAAUCGGAAUUACUGGGCGUAAAGCGUGCGUAGACGGUUUCGUAAGUCGGGUGUGAAAUCCCCGGGCUCAACCUGGGAAUUGCAUUCGAAACUGCGAGGCUAGGGUACGGAAGAGGGAAGCGGAAUUUCUGGUGUAGCGGUGAAAUUCGUAGAUAUUCGCAAGAACACCAGUGGCGAAGGCGGCUCACUGGCCCGAUACUGACGCUGAGGCACGAAAGCGUGGGGAGCAAACAGG